UUCUCAGUGGUUACUGAGUACACUCUGUUUUCAUUGAUGUCACACUGUUUAUCUUUGCUCCAAUAAAGACGACUUACCCCAGGGCAUCCUCACUUUCUCAGCAUCCUUUGCGUGCUCUCUGUGUGCUUUGGCGCUGGCUGUGAGGAAUCCUAAGCUUGUCACUGCAGCAAAAAGAGCAGUGUGUGUGAUAAAUAGCAAAGCAAGGGCUGGGGUGUAGCUCAGUGGUGUUCCUCUAGCUGGUAGAGCCUAGCAUGUGCAAGGCUCCUGGUUCAUUCCAUAGCGUUGGAAAAGAACAACAACAAAAACCCCCAACAACAACAAAAGCAAGCAAGAAGCUGACGAGUGGCUUUGGAGUGUGUGGCCGGGGUUGUAACUCCUCUAUGAGUCACGGGAGGUAAUCGGAGGGGCUCAUUAGAUGAGGCAACUAACGGCUAGAAGAAAGGAAGCACAAUACACAUGAGCCUUAAUCCAGGCUUUCACGGUGAUUGCAUGGAUUGCUGACAUCACCCCUUGCCUGCCUCCACCUCAUCAUUCAUGAUAAAAGAGGGAUGCUCUUCAUAAAAUGCAGAUUAGACAAGGUUACGUCCUUGUCCAAUGUCUCGGUGGCUUGCUGUGGAUGGCAGAAGCUUGGCAUUCUUUGCAUUUCAUGCCAGUCUCUCCCAGCCUGGCUAUGAUGUCCCUCUCUAGACACAUCUCCACGGAGCCCCAUGGUUAUGCCACACUGCAGCUAGUGUCUCCAAGUGCUGGUCUGAGGAGAUUUUUCUCAAGAUAUUGGAAAGUCUGGCUAAAUGAAUGUGGAUUUAAAUCAAACUCCACACACACUGAGAACGUCUGAGAAGGAGCCAAGUGGGUAAAGUUUGAGGACCAAGCUAACACUUCAGUGAAUUCAACUGGGAAAACACACGGAAGGCAUUUGGAACACAACUUCUAGAAUAUAUCCAGCUGUCUUUUGCCCCUUCCCUUCUGCCUGAGAUGCCAAUCGCUUAUUUUUCCAAGCCCAAACCAAGCCUGGCUCUCAGUUAGAUCACUCCAGCUGAUGCUGGCUGACACUCCUUCCUGAGCAUCUCUGCAGACAUCGAAACACACUCAGAACUUACUCUCUGCCGACCUACGCCAUGGAUGUGGACCUGGC
rnacentral:lncRNA from 1 species